GAUGAACGCUAGCGGGAGGCCUAACACAUGCAAGUCGAACGGGAUUGAGAGCUUGCUCUCAUGAGACCGGCGAACGGGUGAGUAACGCGUAUGCAACCUACCUUUUACAGAGGAAUAGCCCAGAGAAAUUUGGAUUAAUAUCUCAUAGUACUUUUAGAUCACAUGGUUUAAUAGUUAAAGCUUCGGCGGUAAAAGAUGGGCAUGCGUGACAUUAGAUUGUUGGCGGGGUAACGGCCCACCAAGUCUGCGAUGUCUAGGGGUUCUGAGAGGAUGAUCCCCCACACUGGUACUGAGACACGGACCAGACUCCUACGGGAGGCAGCAGUGAGGAAUAUUGGUCAAUGGGCGCAAGCCUGAACCAGCCAUCCCGCGUGAAGGAAGACUGCCCUAUGGGUUGUAAACUUCUUUUAUGUACCAAGAAUGUGAGCUACGUGUAGCUUUUUGACGGUAGUACAUGAAUAAGCAUCGGCUAACUCCGUGCCAGCAGCCGCGGUAAUACGGAGGAUGCGAGCGUUAUCCGGAUUCAUUGGGUUUAAAGGGUGUGUAGGCGGAUUUUUAAGUCAGUGGUGAAAUCUCUCGGCUCAACCGAGAAACUGCCAUUGAUACUGGAAGUCUUGAGUUUAGAUGAAGUAGGCGGAAUAUGUCAUGUAGCGGUGAAAUGCAUAGAUAUGACAUAGAACACCGAUAGCGAAGGCAGCUUACUAAUCUAUAACUGACGCUGAUGCACGAAAGCGUGGGUAGCAAACAGGAUUAGAUACCCUGGUAGUCCACGCUGUAAACGAUGUUCACUCGUUGUUGGCGAUACAUAGUCAGCGACUAAGCGAAAGUGAUAAGUGAACCACCUGGGGAGUACGAUCGCAAGGUUGAAACUCAAAGGAAUUGACGGGGGCCCGCACAAGCGGAGGAGCAUGUGGUUUAAUUCGAUGAUACGCGAAGAACCUUACCUGGGCUUAAAUGUAGAGUACAUAAACGGGAAACUUUUUUCCUUCGGGACUCUUUACAAGGUGCUGCAUGGUUGUCGUCAGCUCGUGCCGUGAGGUGUCGGGUUAAGUCCCAUAACGAGCGCAACCCCUAUCGUUAGUUGCCAGCGAGUCAAGUCGGGGACUCUAACGAGACUGCCGGUGUAAACCGCGAGGAAGGUGGGGAUGACGUCAAAUCAGCACGGCCCUUACGUCCAGGGCUACACACGUGUUACAAUGGCCGAUACAAAGGGCAGCUACCAGGUGACUGGAUGCUAAUCUCGAAAGUCGGUCUUAGUUCGGAUCGAAGUCUGCAACUCGACUUCGUGAAGCUGGAUUCGCUAGUAAUCGUAGAUCAGCAAUGCUACGGUGAAUCGUUCCCGGGUCUUGUACACACCGCCCGUCACACCAUGGGAGCGGGUUCUGCCAGAAGUAGUUAGCCUAACCGAAAGGGGGGCGAUUACCACGGCAGGGUUCGUGACUGGGGUG
rnacentral:rRNA from 1 species